AGGAAAGUGAGCUGUGGUUAGAUUUAAUUCGGAAACAAAACCCAACUAAUUAAACAUUUCUCUGUAAUUUACUUUGAACCAGAAGAGGACAAGUGGGAGCCGGCAGGGAUCCCUGUUCUCAGCCCUCGAUAUGCGAUUUCCCUCUGACCGCUGAAACCACGGGGGUUUUGACCACAGAGGGUCAGAGCUCUGGGUGUGAUAUGAACGCUGAUCUGAUUAUGAGACAACAGGAAUGAAGCAUCUGCAGCAGGAGAGGCGGCAGAAGAACAGAGCUAUAGAUACAGCACCAUAAAUGAGCCACAAUAUUCAACCCGUCUCUAUAUCCUCCUUUCUCCUGAGGGUAUGCAGAGCAAAAGUAAGCAGAAAUCUACACUGUUAUGCAAAUGAGGCCAAAUUUUGUGAAGUCAUUAUUCCAAAGUGUGAUUAUGUUUCCUGGAAGAGAAAGAGAGGUUUUAGGGAAACAGUCAUCCUCCUGUGCUGCCAGUUCUUUUUCUCAGAAAACACAAUGUGAUAACGGAAGUGACUGCAAGUCCCGUCUUCAGUUAUAUCAUGAAAAACCUCCUCAAAGCUUAUUUAAAGAUGAUAUUUUAAGAAAUAACUGACGGCUUGAGCUGCUGAAGUCCAGGUUUUGCUUUUGAUUUGUUAAUAUUGCUAACGGUUAGCAAUAGCUAUGUGUUUUAUAUUUACUGGCUCAAAAAGUCCCACUUCAAUCACCUUUUGGUCCAUUAUAAAAAUGAUGAUUCUAAUUGGACAAUUUUUACCCCAAAUCAAAAAUCUGUUGUUGAAAGUCGCGCGCAAAACUGGAAGUGAGGACGGAGGCAAUGACUGUAUGAGAGUAAGGCAGACUUUCAUGAACCUAGCAACAAGUGAGGGCUAAAAUCUGAUUGCUUAGGAACUUUAAUGUGAAAAAA